GGAAUAUUGCGCAAUGGACGAAAGUCUGACGCAGCGACGCCUCGUGAGGGACGAAGGUCUUCGGAUUGUAAACCUCUUUCAGCAGGGACGAAGCGAAAGUGACGGUACCUGCAGAAGAAGCACCGGCUAACUAUGUGCCAGCAGCCGCGGUAAUACAUAGGGUGCAAGCGUUGUCCGGAUUUAUUGGGCGUAAAGAGUUCGUAGGCGGUUUUUCGCGUCGGAUGUGAAAACUCAGGGCUCAACCCUGAGCCUGCAUUCGAUACGGGAAGACUCGAGGACGGCAGGGGAGACUGGAACUUCUGGUGUAGCGGUGGAAUGCGCAGAUAUCAGAAAGAACACCAAUGGCGAAGGCAGGUCUCUGGGCCGAUCCUGACGCUGAGGAACGAAAGCGUGGGGAGCAAACAGGAUUAGAUACCCUGGUAGUCCACGCCGUAAACUAUGGACGCUAGGUGUGGGGGACGUUCCACGUUCUCUGCGCCGCAGCUAACGCAUUAAGCGUCCCGCCUGGGGAGUACGAUCGCAAGAUUAAAACUCAAAGGAAUUGACGG
rnacentral:rRNA from 1 species